rnacentral:rRNA from 1 species
GUGCCAGCCGCCGCGGUAAUACCGGCAGUUCGAGUGAUGGCCGAUUUUAUUGGGCCUAAAGCGUUCGUAGCUGGCCAGUCAAGUCUGUCGGGAAACCUGCUCGCUCAACGAGCAGCCGUCCGGCGGAAACUGAUUGGCUUGGGACCGGAAGACCUGAAGAGUACGUCCGGGGUAGGAGUGAAAUCCUGUAAUCCUGGACGGACUACCGAUGGCGAAAGCACUUCAGGAGCACGGAUCCGACAGUGAGGAACGAAAGCUGGGGUCUCGAACCGGAUUAGAAACCCGGGUAGUCC